UAGAUGGGACAUGUAUGGGAAGUUGGGCCGAAGAGCCUGUAUCCAUGCUUUAUGAGUCUAUGGCUCUA